rnacentral:miRNA from 1 species
AGAAGGAUCUGCAACAUAUAC